AUACAUUCUAUGCCGGACUCCCGGAGUUCAAAAAACCGGGAGUCCCGUGCGAGGCCUCCGCGUCAGUGCAGGGGGCUGAGCAUGCCAUUCACCCCAAAACUGGGGUGGAUGGGGCAUAUAAUUUUUGGUAGUGGGGCUUGGCGAGUCCGCCAGGCCCCU
rnacentral:snRNA from 1 species